rnacentral:rRNA from 1 species
GACAGAGGUGCCAAGCGUUAGGCGGAAUCACUGGGCUUAAAGCGUGUGUAGGCGGAGUGCUAAGUACCUUGUGAAAUCCCACGGCUCAACCGUGGAACUGCUGGGUAUACUGGUUCUCUUGAGCGACCCAGGGGCGAGCGGAACAAACGGUGGAGCGGUGAAAUGCGUAGAUAUCGCUUGGAACGCCGAAGGUGAAAACAGGUCGCUGGGGAUGUGCCGACGCUGAGACACGAAAGCCAGGGGAGCAAACGGG